CGGGUGAGUAACACGUGGAUAACCUACCUAUAAGACUGGGAUAACUUCGGGAAACCGGAGCUAAUACCGGAUAAUAUUUUGAACCGCAUGGUUCAAAAGUGAAAGACGGUCUUGCUGUCACUUAUAGAUGGAUCCGCGCUGCAUUAGCUAGUUGGUAAGGUAACGGCUUACCAAGGCAACGAUGCAUAGCCGACCUGAGAGGGUGAUCGGCCACACUGGAACUGAGACACGGUCCAGACUCCUACGGGAGGCAGCAGUAGGGAAUCUUCCGCAAUGGGCGAAAGCCUGACGGAGCAACGCCGCGUGAGUGAUGAAGGUCUUCGGAUCGUAAAACUCUGUUAUUAGGGAAGAACAUAUGUGUAAGUAACUGUGCACAUCUUGACGGUACCUAAUCAGAAAGCCACGGCUAACUACGUGCCAGCAGCCGCGGUAAUACGUAGGUGGCAAGCGUUAUCCGGAAUUAUUGGGCGUAAAGCGCGCGUAGGCGGUUUUUUAAGUCUGAUGUGAAAGCCCACGGCUCAACCGUGGAGGGUCAUUGGAAACUGGAAAACUUGAGUGCAGAAGAGGAAAGUGGAAUUCCAUGUGUAGCGGUGAAAUGCGCAGAGAUAUGGAGGAACACCAGUGGCGAAGGCGACUUUCUGGUCUGUAACUGACGCUGAUGUGCGAAAGCGUGGGGAUCAAACAGGAUUAGAUACCCUGGUAGUCCACGCCGUAAACGAUGAGUGCUAAGUGUUAGGGGGUUUCCGCCCCUUAGUGCUGCAGCUAACGCAUUAAGCACUCCGCCUGGGGAGUACGACCGCAAGGUUGAAACUCAAAGGAAUUGACGGGGACCCGCACAAGCGGUGGAGCAUGUGGUUUAAUUCGAAGCAACGCGAAGAACCUUACCAAAUCUUGACAUCCUUUGACAACUCUAGAGAUAGAGCCUUCCCCUUCGGGGGACAAAGUGACAGGUGGUGCAUGGUUGUCGUCAGCUCGUGUCGUGAGAUGUUGGGUUAAGUCCCGCAACGAGCGCAACCCUUAAGCUUAGUUGCCAU
rnacentral:rRNA from 1 species